GAUGAACGCUGGCGGCGUGCCUAAUACAUGCAAGUCGAGCGAACAGACGAGGAGCUUGCUCCUCUGACGUUAGCGGCGGACGGGUGAGUAACACGUGGAUAACCUACCUAUAAGACUGGGAUAACUUCGGGAAACCGGAGCUAAUACCGGAUAAUAUAUUGAACCGCAUGGUUCAAUAGUGAAAGACGGUUUUGCUGUCACUUAUAGAUGGAUCCGCGCCGCAUUAGCUAGUUGGUAAGGUAACGGCUUACCAAGGCAACGAUGCGUAGCCGACCUGAGAGGGUGAUAGGCCACACUGGAACUGAGACACGGUCCAGACUCCUACGGGAGGCAGCAGUAGGGAAUCUUCCGCAAUGGGCGAAAGCCUGACGGAGCAACGCCGCGUGAGUGAUGAAGGUCUUGGGAUCGUAAAACUCUGUUAUUAGGGAAGAACAAAUGUGUAAGUAACUAUGCACGUCUUGACGGUAACUAAUAAGAAAGCCACGGCUAACUACGUG
rnacentral:rRNA from 1 species